rnacentral:sRNA from 1 species
UGACAUGCUGGGCCACCAACCCGGUGGUUGA